rnacentral:lncRNA from 1 species
CGGGCUGUUACAGGUGGUAUCAGAGCCGAACCUCUCCCAGUACGGUGUGGUUCGGGGACGAACCAAGCGGAAGCUGGUGGGCCUGUGACGCCCGGGGACGAAGUACGGAGUGAUCGCCGGUGCAAAGAGGCAUGGACAAAGAGCGGCUCUGGUUAAGACUUCCAAGCGGAGGGGCGCAGGGAUGAACCGGAACACACCCGAACGAGAGGGAUUUCGAGAAUAUACAGGUAUGGGACUGCAUAUUCGAGGAGAGCUUAAAGGAUUUGAU